CUGGGGUCCAGGCUGUUCGGGUCCGUGGAGACAGAGGACGUGGAGGAAACGCGCGACUUGGCCUCGGCUGCGUUGGGCACUCGCAGGGUGAUUUCCUCCGGGCGCUGGCUGGCAUCUGCUCCCGGGGAGAGAGCCAAGAAACACGUCCACAGUGUCCUGGUCUGACAGGUCCAUCAUGUCCAUCUGCUCCAGCAUGUCCACAUUCACCUCCAUGGAGGAAAUGCUGCCUAAGGGAGCUGCAGAGAACAGGGUCCAGCAAAAAGGUGAGACAUUGGAAAGAAGAAAUCCACGUCGUGCUGGAAAACCUCCUCAAAGAACUUCUGCCGGUCCCGCAGUUUGAGCUGCUGCUGCAUCUGCUCCGCAUCCAGGCUGUGCUGCCCCUGCUCCAUGUUGGCUGGGGAGGAAGGUGAGGAGGGUCAGGAUAAGCAGGGCUCUCCGAGCCCUUCUCCCUGUCCCAGCUCAUGUGGUGCUGCUGUGCUGGAGGGCACCUGCCCGGGAAGCCGGGUCCCUCUGCCUGCAGCGCACUGCUGGAGAUGCGGUGUGACUCAGGGCUUGCUCACCACGGGCUUCCUGGAAGCAGCUCUGGUCCUCUCGACCACCCAGCGCGUCCCUGCCGUGCCCAGCGUGGGGUCCUGGCUGCCUGCAGGGGCCGUGGUCUGGCAUGUCCAGCCUAAGCACUGGGCACCUGCAGCAGUGGGAGGGCUCCCUUGCCUGGUCCUGCUCCAGCCCGCGCUCUGCAGCGUGGCCUCAGGGGCCGGGCUGUGCCCCUGCCUCCCGUCCCGCGGUCUGUUUUUAGGCGUUGAGGGGGACGGACUAGCUCGCCACGCUGCAGCUUGCCGAAGGGGCCCUUGCUUCAAUAUAUGCAGGGUGUCUAAAUCCUCCUGCAGCACAAAUGCAAUAUAAACCAAAAUCCUGCUCUAAGGGGUCAA